CGUUCUGACCUAGAUUACGUCAGAGCUUGCGAAUCAAGGUACUAGAAUCAAGAUGGCGGCCUAGUUUCAGUGUCUGUACUCUGUUGACAUUAUUUACGUGAACUUUUGACCGUUUGUUCUUAAAUACUUGUGGAAAUAUGAAUAAAUAAAUGGCAUGUCUGACAAAAGUAGUUAAAUUAUUUCAUUGUUUUGCUCAACUUUAUUAUUUUUAUUUAUUCCUUACAUCCGCGAAUCAUGGUUAGUCGAGGAUACGUUUAAAAUAAGUAAACACUAAAAGUGCACACUGACAGUUGAUUACGAUACAUCUAACAAUUUGAGUCAUUACAGUAAAACAUGGAUUAUAAGUGAAUUAUACGCGUAAGAGAAGAUUUUCUGUCGAAAAAACUAAUGUCAACAAUCAGCAUGGAAUUGGGAUAUUCGUAUCAAAGGGCAAUUCAUGCAGGAAAAGGACUGAAUAUUACUAUUAUAUGAAGAAUUCCAGCCUGCAUUAAAUACUUUGUUGGAUCAUUGAGACAGAUUUGACAUCCAUGUCUAUCCACAUCUGAUAGAGAUGAUCACUAAACAUUCUAGAUGGGUAAAGACCUGUUAAAUCAGCAUUGACUCAGCAUUGAGUAUUUUUCAUCUGUGCAGACACUACAAGUACAAACGCAUGGGAACAAACCAAACUUCAAAUGUUGAAGAGUGAAGAAUUAUUGUGAAAAGUUCUAAAUGUUAGAAUACCAUUGACUAAAUAAAACAAAUAGACAUCGCUUACCAACAGAGACUGUUUACAUGUUAUAAUAUUAAAAAGACAUUAGUUGAGAACUUUCACUCUGACAUUUUUGGAGGGGCAUUAUCGCCUACUUAGUGUUCUUGUUUUUUUACAUAUUUUAAUUUAAAAGUACAUUCAUUGUUUUUAAAUCUGAAUUCAUAGUUAGUAUCAUAAGUAAAAUUCAUUUAUUUGAAUGAUUACAUUUUAUGAAUAAGUCCAAUUGAGCUUUUUACAAGAAAAAGGUUGAUUUUUAAGCAUUUUAUUAGUUAUAAAAAUGUAUAGUUACAUGACAUUAUGUAUAUUUUCUUCAAAACUGAUCGGUAAACUAUCAUAAAUUGUCUUUUGAAUUGUUCAUUAGACAUCAUAGAAAUUUUUUAAAUGAUUUCAGCAGGUUGUCUUAUUAUUAACUAUUUUUUUAUGAAUUUAUAAAACUGCUAUAUAUUUUCAAACAUCGAAAUACUGCUCUGUUCCGAAGACUCACAAGAUCAAUCAAAAUGAUUUUUUUCCAUGUGUAUCAAUAAUAUGUUCGGUUGAACGUAAUUUUUCUGUUAACUGAAGUUUAUUUUACCAGAAACUGUUGUGUUUAUUUAAUAAUCUCUGAUAAUGUGAAAAAAAAUCAAAUAAAGACAAAAUAUUUUUAAUUAACAGUAAAAAAUCUUCAAAAUUUGGAUAAAAGUCCCAUAACGUACCAUGAUAAUGACUAUGUUGUCCGUAAAAGCUUUAUAAAAGUGUGUAUUACUUAUACCUUAAUUCAGUUCAAAUAAUUAUGGCCUUUAAGGAUUUGUGUUUUCAUAAUAUAGAUUUCCUGUUAUAUUGAGCUUUGUCAAUUUGUGUUGAUGUUUUGUUUUAUGUAC